GAUGGUCGCCAUCGUGCAGACAUCAGAUCAGGAGUACCAGACACCGCCAAAACUCCAGCCUCGCGAGCCCUUCGUUGCCGUUCUCCGCCGCGAGCAGAAGCCUCCAGGCUCGUACGUCGCUGUCGUGGAUUCAAGGCCAGUUUCUGGCCUCCUCCGACAUCGUCCAAGGCGAAAGGUAGCAUGGGUGGACUCAAGGUAUCAAGACGAACAAAGCCCAGCCAAGGAUCGAGCUUUUAAGUGACCGGAGGAUGGGGCUAAAAUAUUGAUAAGGUUGUUCGUGAGCAUGACCCGAAAGAGCCAACUAUUACUUCAUGCUGCAUCAAUUGUACGCCCCAUCUCAGUCUACUUUACGAAGUGUGCCUUUCGAGAAUUGAGGACAAAGAUAUAUUCAAUUAGGAAGAUAUUGUUGCUAUCCAUGGGUGUUGGUAUGCAGUAGUUUCUUCAUAUAUUUUCUGUCUAGUUUUAUUCUUAAUUUUUGUCAAGUUCUAGUGUUCAACUAUCAGACAAUGUUAUAAUUUCAUACGCAUUAAAUCUCUUAAUUAUGUCAAAGAUUCUCUCUCUCUCUAUAUAUAUAUGUGUAUGUGCUUGGGUUA